rnacentral:rRNA from 1 species
AGCGAACGCUGACGGCAGGCCUAACACAUGCAAGUCGAGCGCCCCGCAAGGGGAGCGGCAGACGGGAGAGUAACACGUGGGAACGUGCCCUUUGGUUCGGAACAACCCAGGGAAACUUGGGCUAAUACCGGAUAAGCCCUCACGGGGAAAGAUUUAUCGCCGAAGGAUCGGCCCGCGUCUGAUUAGCUAGUUGGUGGGGUAAUGGCCCACCAAGGCGACGAUCAGUAGCUGGUCUGAGAGGAUGAUCAGCCUCACUGGGACUGAGACACGGCCCAGACUCCUACGGGAGGCAGCAGUGGGGAAUAUUGGACAAUGGGCGCAAGCCUGAUCCAGCCAUGCCGCGUGGGUGAUGAAGGCCCUAGGGUUGUAAAGCCCUUUCGGCGGGGAAGAUAAUGACGGUACCCGCAGAAGAAGCCCCGGCUAACUUCGUGCCAGCCGCCGCAGUAACAC